GGCCUUUACUGACGCUAAAGCUCGAAGGUGCGGGUAUCGAACAGGAUUAGAUACCCUGGUAGUCCGCACGGUAAACGAUGGAUGCCCGCUGUUUGCGAUAUACUGUGAGCGGCCAAGAGAAAUCGUUAAGCAUCCCACCUGGGGAGUACGCCGGCAACGGUGAAACUCAAAGGAAUUGACGGGGGCCCGCACAAGCGGAGGAACAUGUGGUUUAAUUCGAUGAUACGCGAGGAACCUUACCCGGGCUUGAACUGCAGGAGAACGAUACAGAGAUGUUGAGGUCCUUCGGGACUCCUGUGGAGGUGCUGCAUGGUUGUCGUCAGCUCGUGCCGUGAGGUGUCGGCUUAAGUGCCAUAACGAGCGCAACCCUUUUCGUCAGUUGCCAUCAGGUGAAGCUGGGCACUCUGGCGAUACUGCCACCGUAAGGUGUGAGGAAGGUGGGGAUGACGUCAAAUCAGCACGGCCCUUACGUCCGGGGCUACACACGUGUUACAAUGGGGAGUACAGAGAGUCAACCGCCGGCAACGUCGGUUUAAUCAAGAAAGCUCUCCUCAGUUCGGAUUGGGGUCUGCAACCCGACCCCAUGAAGCUGGAUUCGCU
rnacentral:rRNA from 1 species